ACGCCGCCCGGCAGCAGCCGGCGGUCGCUCCCUCCCUCCCAGCUGCUGCAGCAGAGACCGGGGCCAUUUCGCGAGGCGGACGGGCUCCUCGGCAGGCUCCGAUUGGGGUGGGAGCGCGGCCGCCGAGGGGCCCGCAGUAGCUGCGCUCACGGGGAAGGAGCCCCACAGUCCCCAGGAGUAGAGAAUUGAACUGUGAAAAAGAAGCCCGAGAUUCCCCAGCGACGUGGUGUUGCAGCCCCGUUGAAGGAGUCAACUUGCAGGCUGUUAAAGACCUCAAGUCAUUAGCAUCAGCUGCUGCACUAAAGGGGCAAGUCAGCGCCUCUAAGUGGCUUAGCGCACAAACGAGGCUCCCGAGACGGCCUCGGCAACUCCAUCCCCUCCUCCACCACCCGCUGGAUGUGAAAAGCUUUCCGGAGCCCAUCUUGGGGGAAGCUUGGUAGUGUUGGCGCUCCUGAAGAGAGACGACGCCCGUUUAUCACCCCCAGGCAACUAGCUGCGCAAAUCAGCGGUGGCUCCAGGGCUAGAGAAUCCCUGGAGCUAACCGCACCCUCUCCCUUUCACGGAACGCGGACUCCGGGGAAAU
rnacentral:sRNA from 1 species